rnacentral:sRNA from 1 species
AUGGCACGGAUAAACGACUCGAAGACCUAUACGGCGAUCAGGAUUUUGAGAAAACGAAUCCUCUGGCCUAUCCGCUAUUGGGAAAGUUUGCUGCCCUGCCAGGGACAUUUGUCAAAAUUUGCGGUAUCGAUAUUUAGAGAGACAACGCCGUCAGAUAUGUGAAGGGAUUGGCGGAUUCUGGAGCUGACGUCCACUCCUCUUGCAAAUUGAUGCGUUAAUCGAAACGUUAAAAGAUCUAUCGCACGUCUUUCGGCUGUAUGCACCGCACUUGGAAGUACCCCGGACGAGAGAACAGGACCGCGUUAGGAGCCUUAAUUGGGUAGUAAUAAGCGAACAGCAGCCAGAGAUUCUGAGUUAAAGAUAGUCUGGCUGAAGAUUCACAGGAAUGGAUUUAUGAGCGUCUAGGCUCCAGAUGAACUAAGUGAACUAAGUUAACAAUACCUCUGAUUUAAUCAACAAUUAUGUGAUCUGGCAAGCCUACUAGGGAGUGUCGGCUACCAAU